UAGCGAGGUGUUCUGUAUCCUGUGGGAGGGGAUAUAAAGAAGGAGCCCUGGCUUUGGAUUUUGCCAAUAAUAGAAAUGUACAAAUAGAGAGACACUCCUUUGAAAUAUAUAGCUCUCUAAUACACUACUGAGGCCCCAUUCUUGUAUAAAGCAGCCACUGCAGUGACUUCAAAUGGACUGAACUCAAUAUAUCACUUGUAUCUUUCACAGUAAGGUACAGAUGCUACUAUGCUCAUCACUAUCACUACUAUUUCUACUACCAUCAUGGGUACCGCUGCGCUCGCUACUGGCGUACCUACCGCUGCAGGCGAUGCCAGCACUACUGAGAAGCAGCAGCGCCCAGGGAUCACAGUGCUGGAGUUCAC